rnacentral:rRNA from 1 species
GCGUGCUUAACACAUGCAAGUCGAACGGAAAGGCCCUGCUUUUGUGGGGUGCUCGAGUGGCGAACGGGUGAGUAACACGUGAGUAACCUGCCCUUGACUUUGGGAUAACUUCAGGAAACUGGGGCUAAUACCGGAUAGGAGCUCCUGCUGCAUGGUGGGGGUUGGAAAGUUUCGGCGGUUGGGGAUGGACUCGCGGCUUAUCAGCUUGUUGGUGGGGUAGUGGCUUACCAAGGCUUUGACGGGUAGCCGGCCUGAGAGGGUGACCGGCCACAUUGGGACUGAGAUACGGCCCAGACUCCUACGGGAGGCAGCAGUGGGGAAUAUUGCACAAUGGGCGGAAGCCUGAUGCAGCAACGCCGCGUGCGGGAUGACGGCCUUCGGGUUGUAAACCGCUUUCGCCUGUGACGAAGCGUGAGUGACGGUAAUGGGUAAAGAAGCACCGGCUAACUACGUGCCAGCAGCCGCGGUGAUACGUAGGGUGCGAGCGUUGUCCGGAUUUAUUGGGCGUAAAGGGCUCGUAGGUGGUUGAUCGCGUCGGAAGUGUAAUCUUGGGGCUUAACCCUGAGCGUGCUUUCGAUACGGGUUGACUUGAGGAAGGUAGGGGAGAAUGGAAUUCCUGGUGGAGCGGUGGAAUGCGCAGAUAUCAGGAGGAACACCAGUGGCGAAGGCGGUUCUCUGGGCCUUUCCUGACGCUGAGGAGCGAAAGCGUGGGGAGCGAACAGGCUUAGAUACCCUGGUAGUCCACGCUGUAAACGGUGGGUACUAGGUGUGGGGUCCAUUCCACGGGUUCCGUGCCGUAGCUAACGCUUUAAGUACCCCGCCUGGGGAGUACGGCCGCAAGGCUAAAACUCAAAGGAAUUGACGGGGCCCCGCACAAGCGGCGGAGCAUGCGGAUUAAUUCGAUGCAACGCGUAGAACCUUACCUGGGUUUGACAUGGAUCGGGAGUGCUCAGAGAUGGGUGUGCCUCUUUUGGGGUCGGUUCACAGGUGGUGCAUGGCUGUCGUCAGCUCGUGUCGUGAGAUGUUGGGUUAAGUCCCGCAACGAGCGCAACCCUUGUUCACUGUUGCCAGCACGUUAUGGUGGGGACUCAGUGGAGACCGCCGGGGUCAACUCGGAGGAAGGUGGGGAUGACGUCAAGUCAUCAUGCCCCUUAUGUCCAGGGCUUCACGCAUGCUACAAUGGCUGGUACAGAGAGUGGCGAGCCUGUGAGGGUGAGCGAAUCUCGGAAAGCCGGUCUCAGUUCGGAUUGGGGUCUGCAACUCGACCUCAUGAAGUCGGAGUCGCUAGUAAUCGCAGAUCAGCAACGCUGCGGUGAAUACGUUCCCGGGGCUUGUACACACCGCCCGUCAAGUCAUGAAAGUUGGUAACACCCGAAGCCGGUGGCCUAACCAUUGUGGGGGAGCCGUCGAAGGUGGGACUGGUGAUUAGG